rnacentral:rRNA from 1 species
AGACGUAGGGGGCGAGCGUUGUCCGGAAUUACUGGGCGUAAAGAGCACGUAGGCGGAUAUUUAAGUCAGGUGUGAAAGACCGCAGCUCAACUGCGGGGUUGCACCUGAAACUGGGUAUCUUGAGGGUAGGAGAGGGAAGUGGAAUUCCUGGUGUAGCGGUGAAAUGCGUAGAAAUCAGGAGGAACACCAGUGGCGAAGGCGACUUUUCUGGACUGACCCUGACGCUGAGGUGCGAAAGCGUGGGUAGC